ensembl:lncRNA
AGCUUUCUGUUUUGGAUUUGCAAUUCACAGAGCAUGAGUAGGAGCUUACAUCACUCAAGGGUGUUUUCACAGAUCACUAUAGGGUAAUAAUUAGAUGUUCGUGCCUCUUUAGAUGACUGGGUUUUAAUAUUAAAAUGUAAUGUUGUCUAAUUGAAUUGCAUGCAAAUAUCUAGUUUCACUCGAGGCUGUUAUCGCUGUGUGCAGGGUAGCCUCUCUUUGUCUGCUGCACCCUUUGCCUUCCUCUCCUCUCCUCCAUCCCUCCAUCCUUCUCUCCCUCCAUCCCCUUUUCCCAUCCGUCCCUCCCUCUGUCCUGCACAUGGGUGACGGGGCUGGGCUGGAGCAGCCUUCUUUUCUGCUCCACCUGCAUCUGUUUGCCAGCCCAGAGGGAACUGUGUGUGUGUGAGUAAGAGAAGCAGGCUACUGGGGAGAAAGCACGCAGAUUGCUUUCCGCUAACUGGAUAUACUCACCCCCUUUUCUUAUAGGGUUCAGCAGUAUUUCUUUUAGUUUGAUUUAACCAACGUCUUGCUACUAACCUUGGAUACGGCUGUUUGUAUGACGACAGAGAGGGGGAAAGGGAAAAGUCCGGGGAGAAAACAGCAGGAGGCGGGGAACAGACGCGGUGCUCUCUUCUCACUGGGGAAGGAUUCUGUCCAUCGUUUGGUAGGAAAGCUAAUCAAAGGGAUUUGGCAAUGCCUGCAGAGGUGAAAGAGGAGCAGAUCCCAGAGGGGCCCUCGUCUCUGUCGGCUAUAACCCUGGAGACCAAGGAAUCACAUGUGGAGUCUGCAGACGAUGACCUGAACACACCCACCUCCAACUCCUCUGUUGUCACCUCCACCAAUGGCAGCUCCACUGCAGAGACAGAGGCACCACAACACACAGAGGACCCCAAGGCUGUGGAACUGGCAAAUGACCAGGCAGACACUCCGAACACCCCAGACACACCCACCCCACAGCUUCCCCCAGCCCAUCAGCAUCCCCCGGUUACCCAGGUUCCCAUGUGUCCAGACAACCAAUCUCUGCAGCCCAGCCCCCUGACCAACGUCCAACACUCCUCUGAGUACCUCACCCCCCUUAUCACAACCACUGCUACCAUCACCACUCUCCCCCCUCCCUACAACAACACAGACGGUGAUCCCAACACAGAGAUCUCUGAGAGGCAGAACAGCAUCUACACCCUCCCCGACCCUCCCUUUCCUGGCCUUGGAGGUGAUGUGUGUUCUGGGUAUGGCAGCCUGUCUCGAGGAGGUGUCCACCAUAGCUCCCUCCACACCUACUGGCCCUCCAGGAACUACCAGAACCAGCCCGGAGGCCACUACACCCUACCCCUACCCAGGGACAACUACGGCCAGGUGGGCCUGACUAACCAGACCGAGGGGGAAGGACCAGGGGACGCCCAGGAUGUAAAGGCUGACUACCCGACCUCCAGCUACGCCACCCUGGGGGGAAUCCACUAUCUCAGACCCAUCACUACCAUGGAGCUCCUGAUGGAGCCGUCCAGAACCAGGUUAGGAUAUGGGCUAGCUAGUUCGGCACAUGCAUGACAGUAGAACUCCCUAGCAGCAUAUCCAAGC